rnacentral:rRNA from 1 species
AUUGAACGCUGGCGGCAGGCCUAACACAUGCAAGUCGGACGGUAGCACAGAGGAGCUUGCUCCUCGGGUGACGAGUGGCGGACGGGUGAGUAAUGUCUGGGGAUCUGCCCGAUAGAGGGGGAUAACCACUGGAAACGGUGGCUAAUACCGCAUAACGUCGCAAGACCAAAGAGGGGGACCUUCGGGCCUCUCACUAUCGGAUGAACCCAGAUGGGAUUAGCUAGUAGGCGGGGUAAUGGCCCACCUAGGCGACGAUCCCUAGCUGGUCUGAGGGGAUGACCAGCCACACUGGAACUGAGACACGGUCCAGACCCCUACGGGAGGCAGCAGUGGGGAAUAUUGCACAAUGGGCGCAAGCCUGAUGCAGCCAUGCCGCGUGUAUGAAGAAGGCCUUCGGGUUGUAAAGUACUUUCAGCGGGGAGGAAGGCGGUGCGGUUAAUAACCGCGCCGAUUGACGUUACCCGCAGAAGAAGCACCGGCUAACUCCGUGCCAGCCGCCGCCGUAAAAC